AUUGAACGCUGGCGGCAGGCCUAACACAUGCAAGUCGAGCGGAUGAAGGGAGCUUGCUCCUGGAUUCAGCGGCGGACGGGUGAGUAAUGCCUAGGAAUCUGCCUGGUCGUGGGGGAUAACGUCCGGAAACGGGCGCUAAUCCCGCAUACGUCCUGAGGGAGCAAGUGGGGGAUCUUCGGACCUCACGCUAUCAGAUGAGCCUAGGUUGGUUUCGCUAGGUGGUGGGGUAAAGGCUUACCAAGGCUACGAUCCGUAACUGGUCUGAGAGGAUGAACAGUCAGACGGGCACUGAGAAACGGCACAGACUCCGACGGGGGGCAGCGGUGGGGAAUAUUGGGGGAUGGGGCAAAGGCUGAUCUAGCAAUGCCGGGGGAGGGAAGAAGGUCUUCGGAUGGGAAAGCGCUUAAGGUUGGGAGGAAGUGAAGUAAGUUAACACCGGACGGUAUUGACGUUACCGACAGAAUAAGCACCGGCUAACUUCGUG
rnacentral:rRNA from 1 species